GAUGAACGCUGGCGGCGUGCCUAAUACAUGCAAGUCGAGCGAACAGAUGAUGAGCUUGCUCCUCUGACGUUAGCGGCGGACGGGUGAGUAACACGUGGAUAACCUACCUAUAAGACUGGGAUAACUUCGGGAAACCGGAGCUAAUACCGGAUAAUAUAUUGAACCGCAUGGUUCAAUAGUGAAAGACGGUUUUGCUGUCACUUAUAGAUGGAUCCGCGCCGCAUUAGCUAGUUGGUAAGGUAACGGCUUACCAAGGCAACGAUGCGUAGCCGACCUGAGAGGGUGAUCGGCCACACUGGAACUGAGACACGGUCCAGACUCCUACGGGAGGCAGCAGUAGGGAAUCUUCCGCAAUGGGCGAAAGCCUGACGGAGCAACGCCGCGUGAGUGAUGAAGGUCUUCGGAUCGUAAAACUCUGUUAUUAGGGAAGAACAAAUGUGUAAGUAACUAUGCACGUCUUGACGGUACCUAAUCAGAAAGCAACGGCUAACUACGUG
rnacentral:rRNA from 1 species